rnacentral:rRNA from 1 species
GACGAACGCUGGCGGCGUGCCUAACACAUGCAAGUCGAACGAAGUGGCGAACGGGCGAGUAACGCGUAAUCAACCUGCCCUUCAGCGGGGGACAACAGGUGGAAACGACUGCUAAUACCGCAUACUGAAGGAGGGGAUUCCGUCUGAUUAGGUAGUUGGAGGGGUAACGGCCCACCAAGGGGAUGCUCGGUAGCCGGUCUGAGAGGGGUAACGGCCACAUUGGGACUGAGACACGGCCCAGACUCCUACGGGAGGCAGCAGUGGGGAAUCUUCCGCAAUGGACGAAAGUCGGACGGAGCAACGCCGCGGGAGUGAUGACGGCCUUCGGGUUGGAAAGCUCUGUUAAUCGGGACGCGGUACCGGAAUAGAAAGCCACGGCUAACUACGUGCCAGCAGCCGCGGUAAUAC